AUGCGAGCACGCGCGCGUGCGCACACACACACACACCGCGACACUCACAUCCUCUCUCAUAUGCCUCUUCCACAGCCCCAGUCUCACCCCACAGCAAACAUGAUGAAUUCACAUCCUGAGGCGGGUGUACCACCAACAAAAUCUGACCGGAGGAAACAAUUUCAAUUCAAUCAGAGGCCUCCUGCGGUUGAAGUUUACAAGGAGCGCUGCCAAGUCCCACUUUCUUGGCGGACAAACUGUGCAGACUUGGGGCCUGCUGGGAGGGUCUUCAGGCUGUAGAUUCUGAAAUAUGAAUGAAGGGAUGUGAAAGUGAUGGGCUCUGUCCUUACACCCAGCCCCAGUGGGAGCUUGGGCAGGGAGUGGGAGGAUGAGAAACGUCUUCAUUUUACACAACAAAGUGCUUCUCCAAGGUGGGUUAUUGCUGAGUUGUCUGCCUCCAACUUUCCUAAGGUGAUUGUUUAAAAUAUGGAUUCCUGGGCAGCUUCUGUACCUACUGUAUCUGUCAACAUUUCUGGAGGAUAGGGCUUUGUGAUUUGCAUUUUAUUUUAUUUUUGUAUUGAAGUAUAGUUGAUUUACAAUGUUAUGUUAAUUUCUGCUGUGAUUCAAUAUGCAUAUAUAGUUAUAUAUAUACACUCUUAAAAUAUUCUUUUCCAUUAUGGUUUAUCAAAGGACAUUAAAUACAGUUCUCUGUGCUAUACAGUAAGACCUUGUUGAUUAACCCAUUCAUGUAUAAUAGCUUAAACUUCUAACCCCAACCUCUCAGUCUGUCCCUCCCACAACCCCCUCCCCCUAGGCAACCACAAGUUUUUUUCACUACAUCAAUGAGUCUCUUUCUGAUUCACAGAUAGGUUCUUUUCUGUCAUUUCUUAGAUUCUACAGAUAAGUGAUAUCAUAUAUUUGUCUUUCUCUUGCUGACUCGCUUAAUAUGAGCCCUCUAGUUGUAUCCAUGUUACUGUGAAUGUCAUUCUUUCUUUUUUAUGGCUGAGUAGUAUUCCCUUGUAUAUAUAUUAUACAUCUUUAUGUGAUCUGAAUUUUUUUUUUGUCUUUUUAGGCCCACACUCGAGGCAUAUGGAGGUUCCCAGCCUAGGGGUCCAAUCAGAGCUGUAGCUGCCAGCCUACACCAUAGCCACAGCAACAUGGGAUCCGAGCUGCAUCUGCAACCUACACCACAGGUCACAGCAAUGCCAGAUCCAUAACCCACUGACUGGGGCCAGAGAUCAAAACCGAGUUCUCAUGGAUGCUAGGUGGGUUCGUUAAUCACUGAGCCACGACGUAAACU
rnacentral:lncRNA from 1 species